UGGGGAAUAUUGGACAAUGGGCGAAAGCCUGAUCCAGCCAUGCCGCGUGUGUGAAGAAGGUCUUCGGAUUGUAAAGCACUUUAAGUUGGGAGGAAGGGCAUUAACCUAAUACGUUAGUGUUUUGACGUUACCGACAGAAUAAGCACCGGCUAACUCUGUGCCAGCAGCCGCGGUAAUACAGAGGGUGCAAGCGUUAAUCGGAAUUACUGGGCGUAAAGCGCGCGUAGGUGGUUUGUUAAGUUGGAUGUGAAAUCCCCGGGCUCAACCUGGGAACUGCAUUCAAAACUGACUUACUAGAGUAUGGUAGAGGGUGGUGGAAUUUCCUGUGUAGCGGUGAAAUGCGUAGAUAUAGGAAGGAACACCAGUGGCGAAGGCGACCACCUGGACUAAUACUGACACUGAGGUGCGAAAGCGUGGGGAGCAAACA
rnacentral:rRNA from 1 species